GGAAGGAUCAUUCAUGUGAUUUUAACACCCAACUUUAUGCAAACUAUUAGUAGCUAAAGUGCUAAAGGUUCUGUGUUUUUCUUUUGUUGGCUGCGUUUUCUUUUACCUCAUACUAUUUUCAAAGCACUAUAAAAAAGGGUAAUUUUUACCCAGAAAAUAGUUAAAGAAAUGAUAAAUGCUACCUUUAAUUUACACUAAAAUUCAAUCUAAAUCAUACCAUAAAACAUGUAAACUAUUACAACUUUUAACGAUGGAUCCCUCGGCUCUUACUUCGAUGAAGAACGCAGCGAAUUGCGAUAACUAAUGUGACUUGCGCACACUCGUGAAUCAUCAAAAUUUUGAACGCACAUUGCACUUGCUGGUUAAUCCGGCAAGUAUGCCUAUUUCAGUGUCAUUUUAACUCUUCUUCCCUUAAAAGGUGUUGAAGGAUUUGAGACUUUUGUUUGCAAGAACAAUGUCUUUAAAUGUAGGUGUGCUUUUUAUCUAGUACAAAGUUGUUCUUUCUUUGGGGUUGUUUGUGCCUUUCCUUGUGGAGGGUUCUGGGUAGUUUCAUACUUGCGAUAAGCCUGUUGCCAGUGUGCAUUAAGGGAAAGAAACGGCCUUUAUAGGGGUAAAGAUAAAGUUAAACGACAUUGAUUGUUAAUUUAGUCAAUGCCACACUUUUUCGUUGCUUUUCUUUAAAGGAACGCUCUUUUUGCUGGGUAAAGUAGGAAUGUCAAGGGUGUAUGUGAUACUUUUCAGUAAAGCAACAUUUAGAUAUUAUGGCACCUUAAAUUAUAGGAAUGUUUAACCAAGGUCAUACUUGGUUUAUACCAAAACAUUGACCUGAAAUUAGGUAUGAGGACCCGCUGAACUUAAGCAUAUCAAUAAGCGGAGGAAAAGAAAGUAACGACGAUUCCCUUAGUAGCGGCGAGCGAACUGGGAAAAGCUCAACUUUAAAAUCUGAGUAUUUUAUACUCCGAAUUGUAGUUUGUGGAAACAUUCUCCGGGCACGGCUAGUAGGUAAAGACCUCUGGAAUGAGGCACCAUAGAGGGUGAUAGUCCCGUUUAUACUUGCUAGAGUUACCUUGUCCUAAUAUGAGAUGUUUUUGAAGAGUCGGGUUGUUUGGGAAUGCAGCCCAAAAUGGGAGGUAAAUUUCUCCUAAGGCUAAAUAUUAGUAAGAGACCGAUAGCAAACAAGUACCGUGAGGGAAAGGUGAAAAGAACUUUGAAAAGAAAGUUAAAAGUACGUGAAAUCGUUAAAAGGGAAACGUUCCCAGGCAUCAUAACUUACCUAGAAAUCAGCCAAAGGGUGUUUUUGACGCUCUCUGGUGCACUUUCUUCUUAAGAACGUUAACAUCAGUGCUGGUGGGUAGAAUACGGGUUGUUUGGAAUGUGGCCUAGUACUUUUGUUCUAGGUGUUAUAGCCUUUCAAUUUCUGCUAUCCCUGGUACUGAAUUAAGCAGCAAAGGCCUUUGGCAACACUUGACAAGGCUGUUCACCUGCUUUCAUUACUGUUGUCUUUGUUAUUUUCCAUUAUGGGGGGUAGGAAAGCACCUUUAAUGUUAAGUAGAAAGAUAGUCCAAGUGUCACUUUGCUUAGGAUGUUGACUAGAUGACUUUGAACGACCCGUCUUGAAACACGGACCAAGGAGUCUACCACACAUGCAAGUGUUUGGGUGUCAAACCCCUACGCGAAAUGAAAGUGAUUUUUGAUGGGAUCCCUUUAGGGGGCGCACCAUUACCCGAUCUUAGCUUAUAAAGUAGCUGGAUUUGAGGCGGAGCAUGUCUGAUAGGACCCGAAAGAUGGUGAUCUAUGCCUGAAUAGGGUGAAGCCAGAGGAAACUCUGGUGGAGGCUCGUAGCGAUUCUGACGUGCAAAUCGAUCGUCAAAUUUGGGCAUAGGGGCGAAAGACUAAUCGAACCAUCUAGUAGCUGGUUCCCUC
rnacentral:misc_RNA from 1 species